rnacentral:rRNA from 1 species
UAAGACGAACCGUCCUAACGUUAUUCGGAUUCACUGGGCUUAAAGGGCGCGUAGGCUGUUUACCAAGUCCGGGGUGAAAUCUUUCGGCUUAACCGGAAAAGUGCCUUGGAUACUGGUGAACUCGAGGGAGGUAGGGGCAUGUGGAACUUCCGGUGGAGCGGUGAAAUGCGUUGAUAUCGGAAGGAACGCCGGUGGCGAAAGCGACGUGCUGGCCCUCUUCUGACGCUGAGGCGCGAAAGCUAGGGGAGCAAACGGGAUUAGAUACCCCGGUAGUCCUAGCCCUAAACGAUGGGUACUAGGUAGUGGGCUUACAUGGGUUCACUGCCGAAGCAAAAGUGAUAAGUACCCCGCCUGGGGAGUAUGGUCGCAAGGCU